GUUUUGAGCCGCACAAUGUGCGGAGAUCUCUGCCGUUUCCUUCCAAAAAUGAACUGACGAUCAACCCACAAGAAACGGUUUCCAUGUAGCGAGUUUAGAGAGACAUGCCAGGACUUAAAGUGAUGGACUGAAAGGGUUUCCUUGCAGAAGGAUGCUCUGUUGAUUACAAUAUCGUUCGAUUAACAUCCAUUCAGGAUUUCUGUUUUUGGAUUAACGAGGAUUGGAGAAAUGUAGCAUUGCAUCACUUGCUCAGCAGUGAAUGGGUGCCGUCAGAAUGAGAGUCAAAACAGCUGAUAAAACAUCACAAUAAUCCAUAAAUCAUCCACACCACUCCAGUCCAACAGUUAAUGUCUUGAGAAGACAAAAACUGAAACAUAUCCAGCAUUAAGAGUCUAUAAUCCAUAAUAACACUUUCUCCAGUGAAAAAGUGUUCUGGUCUGAAUCAGGAGAGAAAUCUGCACAGAUCAAGCAGCGUUUAAACAGCUCUAUACAAAUCUGUGACUGUAUCUUAAGCACUUUUUCAAUGGAUUUCAGACUCUUAAUGUUGGAUGUGUUUUAUCUUUUGUCUUCUCCAGAUGUUAACUGAUGGACUUGAGUGAUGUGGAUUACUGUGAUGUUUUUAUCAGACUCUCAUUCUGACGGCACCCAUUCACUGCAGAGCAUCCGUCGAUGAGACACUGAUGCAGUGCUACAUUUCUCCAAUCCUGAUGAAGAAACAAACUCAUCCUGAUCUUGGAUGACCUGGGGAGAUGGAGAACACGGUUUAACCCUUAGCAAGAUUGUUCCUCACAUCUGUCAUCUGUGAGGAGAUCCGAGCGCUCAGGUGAGAGGCUUUUGUUCUGGUCUGCUUCAGAGCAAUGAGUUUGUGUUAGUGUGGUCUGUGGAGCCCUCUGCUGGUCAUCUGAGUGAACUGCUGCUGCAGCGCUUCUUUACUUCAAUAUACAUCUAUACAUAUAUAUAUAUAUAUUGUUACAUUGCCACCCACAUUUAGCAAAACAUUUAAUUUAUUUAGAAUGCAUUUAGAAAUUGUGAAAACAUUUUUAAUUUUAACUUUUAAAAUUGAAUGUGAUUUUAAUUUAAUUCUUAUAAUUAUAUUUUUUUAAUUCGUAUUUUUUAUAUUUUUCUUUAUAUUUAUAAUUUACUGUGCACAAACCGCAACUUUACGGU